UGAGGCCAAGCAGAUACAGUCACAU
rnacentral:piRNA from 1 species